rnacentral:rRNA from 1 species
GACAGGUGCUGCAUGGCUGUCGUCAGCUCGUGUUGUGAAAUGUUGGGUUAAGUCUCGCAACGAGCGCAACCCCUAUCUUUAGUUGCCAGCAUUAAGUUGGGCACUCUAGAGAGACUGCCCGGGUUAACCGGGAGGAAGGUGGGGAUGACGUCAAGUCCUCAUGGCCCUUAUGCCUAGGGCUACACACGUAAUACAAUGGUUGGUACAGAGGGAAGCGAUCGGGUGACCGUUAGCAAAUCUCAAAAAGCCAAUCUCAGUCCGGAUUGGAGUCUGCAACUCGACUCCAUGAAGUUGGAAUCGCUAGUA